rnacentral:miRNA from 1 species
GCGAGCGCGCUACUGCUUGAGCCACAUCCCCAGCCCUCUAGUUCCUGAUUUAGGUUAUAGCACAAGAGUUCAUUAAUAUGAGUUUUUAUAACAAAUAAAUAUAUUAUCAAAAAAGAAAGAUGGGGGCUGGGGAUGUGGCUCAAGUGAUAGCGCGCUUGC